rnacentral:rRNA from 1 species
UACGUAGGGGGCAAGCGUUGUCCGGAAUUAUUGGGCGUAAAGCGCGCGCAGGCGGUCAAUUAAGUCUGGUGUUUAAUCCCGGGGCUCAACCCCGGGUCGCACUGGAAACUGGUUGACUUGAGUACAGAGGAGGAAAGUGGAAUUCCACGUGUAGCGGUGAAAUGCGUAGAGAUGUGGAGGAACACCAGUGGCGAAGGCGACUUUCUGGGCUGUAACUGACGCUGAGGCGCGAAAGCGUGGGGAGCAAACAGG